rnacentral:rRNA from 1 species
AACGAACGCUGGCGGCAGGCCUAACACAUGCAAGUCGAACGGAUCCUUCGGGAUUAGUGGCGCACGGGUGAGUAACACGUGGGAACGUGCCCUUGGGUACGGAAAAACAGUUGGAAACGACUGCUAAUACCGUAUAAUAUCGAGAGAUCAAAGAUUUAUCGCCCAAGGAUCGGCCCGCGGAAGAUUAGGUAGUUGGUGGGGUAAAAGCCUACCAAGCCUACGAUCUAUAGCUGGUCUUAGAGGAUGAUCAGCCACACUGGAACUGAGACACGGUCCAGACUCCUACGGGAGGCAGCAGUGAGGAAUAUUGGACAAUGGGCGAAAGCCUGAUCCAGCCAUGCCGCGUGAAUGAUGAAGGCCUUAGGGUUGUAAAGUUCUUUUAGCUGUGACGAUAAUGACGGUAGCAGCAGAAAAAGCCCCGGCUAACUUCGUGCCAGCAGCCGCAGUAA